GAUGAAGAACGUAGCGAAAUGCGAUACGUAAUGUGAAUUGCAAAUUCAGUGAAUCAUCGAAUCUUUGAACGCACAUUGCGCCCGCCAGUAUUCUGGCGGGCAUGCCUGUUCGAGCGUCAUUACAACCCUCAGGCCCCCGGGCCUGGCGUUGGGGAUCGGCGGAGCCCCCCGUGGGCACACGCCGUCCCCCAAAUACAGUGGCGGUCCCGCCGCAGCUUCCAUCGCGUAGUAGCUAACACCUCGCGACUGGAGAGCGGCGCGGCCACGCCGUAAAACACCCAACUCUUCUGAAGUUGACCUCGAAUCAGGUAGGAAUACCCGCUGAACUUAAGCAUAUCAAUAAGCGGAGGA
rnacentral:misc_RNA from 1 species